AUUUGUUUUGUUAGCAAUUUUCAAAAUACCCUUAUUCAUAUGAUAUUAGAUGAUUUACAUAUAUUUUUAUUACAUACUUUCAUAUCCCCACAUCAAACCAAAUUAUAUCCCAACAUACACUACCAACAAAAUUUCUACUAAGUAACUCAUUUUUUCUUUCUUCCCUCACUCUUUAACCAUUAACCCAACUUACCUCUUACUUCCACAAAUCUUUCGUUCACUACUUUAAAAUCAUCACAUUUUACUACAAAUCACAUCCUUAAUUAAUCAGUCAAAAAAUUUAAUAUAAAUGAAAAUCACAUUGACUUUUCUUGUUUUUCUUUCCUCCGUCUUUUAAUUAAUCAUAUAUAUAAAAAUUGGUCAACUCUCUCCAUAUAAGUAACAUAUCAUCACACAAGAAAAUGGCAUGUGUCAUGCUACAUUAAUU
rnacentral:sRNA from 1 species